rnacentral:rRNA from 1 species
AUUGAACGCUGGCGGCAGGCCUAACACAUGCAAGUCGAACGAGUGGCGGACGGGUGAGUAAUGUCUGGGCAACUGCCUGAUGGAGGGGGAUAACUACUGGAAACGGUAGCUAAUACCGCAUCCCAUCAGAUGUGCCCAGAUGGGAUUAGCUAGUUGGUGGGGUAACGGCUCACCAAGGCAACGAUCCCUAGCUGGUCUGAGAGGCGGACCAGCAACAGUGGUACUGAGACACGGUCCAGACGCCUACGGGAGGCAGCAGUGGGGAAGAUUGCACAAUGGGGGCAAGCCUGAUGCAGCCAUGCCGCGUGUAUGAAGAAGGCCUUCGGGUUGUAAAUUACUUUCAGCGGGGAGGCGUUACCCGCAGAAGAAGCACCGGCUAACUCCGUGCCAGCCGCCGCGGUAAUAC